AUACAGCUGGCGAGUCCCAAAUAAAACGAAACGCGCGUCCUGGAU
rnacentral:hammerhead_ribozyme from 1 species